CCAGUAAAAGUCUCUGCAACGAAUCCCGGUGUCAUCAGUUCUUCAAACUGCGGGCAGUUUGAGCGGCUCCGGCACCUUCUUGCUCAGGGGAGGCUAUUACAAGAUGUGUCCUAUUCAAAGCUGCCCUUGAGUUCUCUAGCUGAGACAGAGAGACACAGUUCAGCGAUAUGAAUAUGCUGUCAUUAUGCAAGAUAUGAGUGCAUCUACCCAUAGAAAGGCAGGUAGAGCGCAAAAAAAACAGACUCUCCAAGACAGAUGCAGAAAGAGAUGUCACUCUUCAAACAACAGUGCUUUCAAAAGGUACCAUCAAAGCUGCUGCUAUUCAAGGGUGACAGAACGUGACCUCCACAGAAUUCAAGACAAAUUGAAAUUUCAGGAUGCCCCCCGUUCCAGUUCUACAGGAGGCAAUGAACAAGUCCGUGAGAGUUACCCUUUUUGGAUCUUUCAUCUAAUAAAUUUUGAUUAAAACCUCUCUCA